CUCAAGUGGCAGUGCAGGAGGCCUAUGUGGGAUAUUAGGAAAAACUAUUCCACUAGAAGGGUGGUGAAGUCCUGGAAUGGGAAAACUAGGUAGGUGACACGAUGCACCAUCCUGAUAGAGGCAGCACUGAAACCCGCAACAGUUGAUAUUCUUGCCCUCUGAAUGAAAAGGAAGCAAAAAUCUAUUGCUAUUUACAAAAGGAACUACCCUCUGUAUCCAAAUAUGGAAAAAGACUGUUGAGAGAGUGAGCUGAACUCCAAAUGAUUUCACCUGAAGAACUGUAUGGAAAGUGAAUUCUUUUCCCCUGGAACAGCAGCUCCUAAACUCAGAAAACUAAAACACCUCAAGCAGUUCUGAGGUGAUUCUAUACUUCGGGAGAGAAAAACAUGAAAAUAAAAAGAAGAUGCUAUUGUGAUAAAUGUAUUCUGCAUUUUUUUUUAAACUAACCCUGACAGCAUAUCUGGCAAUAAACUAUUGGUUUCUGUUACUAAAUCAAUUAUUUUUAAAAAGUGAGACUCAUUACAGUGAUUUCAUGCUUGUUAAGGAAUAGAUGUAAAUCUGCAUUUUGGCACCAGGAGCUCUAAAUAUAAGGUAAUUUGUGUAUAAAAAUUGAGUUUUAAAUAAACCCCCAUGUAGCUAUUUAUUAAAAAUCUAUAAAUAUUUAUGCACUUACCUAUUUUUAAAUGCUUCAAAAUCAAUGUACAAAACCCAGUGAUUGAAAAUGCCUUAGGUAUUUUACCUGUUAUGUAUGAUCCUUUGUUUCCUAAUGAAAGUACACUAUUUCCAAACAGGCUGGGUGGAGUAUUAGGCAGGAAUAUUAAUGAAAAAAAGACUUAAGUCUGGCUCUCCCUGCUAUUCUCUCCAGUACAAAUAGGAUGACAUGGUGUGAGUAUCAAGAAUACAAGAGAUGGCACAGCCAGGUUGUUUUGAUAUUUGUGUGAAGAACAAAUUUAACUCUAAAUCUCUUGGCAAGACCUUGCUUCACCCACUUAAUCUGGAGAACAUCCAUAUGUGAGCCUUGUCUAAGCCUCCGAGAAGACUACUGCCCUCCUGCUCAUGUCCGCCAGCACUCUGAUCUGACUUUCAUACUUAAUCUGAUCUAAUCCUGCCCAGCAUUAACUUCAUCUGUGCAAUGAAACCUGGAGUAUCCAUUCUAAUAUUUGGUGAGGAAGGCAUUUACUAAAUUACUUGCUGAAAUCAUAUGGUGUUGUUUAGCUCCUUAUUUUAAUCAGAUGAUGCAUCUCAGAGACACAUUAUCGGCGAUUAGUUAGAAACCCAUCUCUGUCCUUUUUGGGAAUAACUUUUAUUAAAUUAAAUGUUAAGGGAAAAAAGCACUGUUGCAAGCCAAGAAGUAGGAAAUAAAAAUAAAUAUUUUUUACCUCUUAUUAAAGAAAAUCAUUUUUAAAUUAAAAAACAACAACAACAACAACAACCCCCCAUCACCAUUACCACAAAACACAGUGAAAAUGUUUCUGGAAAGCCAAUUUAAAAAAUGCAUUGUUUACUUAGACAACAGGCGGUUUCUCCCAACCCUCCACCACUUUUUCUUUUAACCAUUCCUUCAUAAAAGUCAAAUCUGCUGAAUUCAACAAUCCUGUGAAGUCAUUAUGUUCAGAAUUUGGACUCUUACAAUGUCUCAGAAUAGAAAUAUUUUUAUUCUGUUCUGGCUCCCUAAAGAAUCAAAACCAAACAUGAAUUAUGUAAGAAAAGACAUAUUGGGAAAAUAUUUUCUUCUUUUCUUAAGUGAAAUUUGCACCUAAAAUGUCUAGCUUUCUUUAUUUAUAAUUAAGAAUGCACUUUUUUGAAAGUGGUAAUGCAGUCACUGAAAGGACAGGAUGAAUCCACACUGUCAAUAUCAAAAAUUGGUCUGUGUUCCCAGCCAAAUCUAUCGAUGUAUUUAAAUAGAAUAUAUAUUAGCUUUUAUCAUGAAACAGCUCACUCACAAAGUAAGUAUUGUGCUCCUAAUUUUUACUAAGCAUUCUCUGAUUAUUAACAAUGUUUACCUGUGUAAUAAUGUGACCAUCAUUUUUAGUGUAGGCUUAUCAAUACUGUUGUUGAAUUGACUUAAGAAACAGAAUGAUGCAGAAAAGAUUUUGAAAAUCUUUUUCCUUUGCGAAGAUUUUCUGGGGAGCAAAAUAUACAUCCCCUUAUAUCAAUAGUCAGAUCUUUCCUAAGAAGUAAGCUAAUUGAGCUGUUUGUGUUGAUAAACUCCCUUUUCUCCAGACUGUUCCUCACUGAGCCAUAAUUAUUUGCAAUUUGCCUAAGUCGUCCAUUUACUGAUACGUCAAGCAUGAAACAGAGGCAAUUCCAGAAAAUGGAAAUGCUUCUCAAAAUCAAUCUUUGGGAAAUAAUGCGGUAGAAGUUACUGUGUGAUAGAAGACUACCUUAUAACUGUCAUAUGGAGAUGAAUAUUAAUUUGUUGAGGUUAAGGUGGCUUUGUGCUUCAUUUGUUGACUUUGCUUAGCCAUCAGCAAGCAGCACAGCACAAUUACUCUAGCAAAGCUAGUUUUUAACAUGAGUUUUAUGAUUUUUA